rnacentral:rRNA from 2 species
GACGAACGCUGGCGGCGUGCCUAAUACAUGCAAGUCGAACGAACUCUGGUAUUGAUUGGUGCUUGCAUCAUGAUUUACAUUUGAGUGAGUGGCGAACUGGUGAGUAACACGUGGGAAACCUGCCCAGAAGCGGGGGAUAACACCUGGAAACAGAUGCUAAUACCGCAUAACAACUUGGACCGCAUGGUCCGAGNUUGAAAGAUGGCUUCGGCUAUCACUUUUGGAUGGUCCCGCGGCGUAUUAGCUAGAUGGUGGGGUAACGGCUCACCAUGGCAAUGAUACGUAGCCGACCUGAGAGGGUAAUCGGCCACAUUGGGACUGAGACACGGCCCAAACUCCUACGGGAGGCAGCAGUAGGGAAUCUUCCACAAUGGACGAAAGUCUGAUGGAGCAACGCCGCGUGAGUGAAGAAGGGUUUCGGCUCGUAAAACUCUGUUGUUAAAGAAGAACAUAUCUGAGAGUAACUGUUCAGGUAUUGACGGUAUUUAACCAGAAAGCCACGGCUAACUACGUGCCAGCAGCCGCGGUAAUACGUAGGUGGCAAGCGUUGUCCGGAUUUAUUGGGCGUAAAGCGAGCGCAGGCGGUUUUUUAAGUCUGAUGUGAAAGCCUUCGGCUNAACCGAAGAAGUGCAUCGGAAACUGGGAAACUUGAGUGCAGAAGAGGACAGUGGAACUCCAUGUGUAGCGGUGAAAUGCGUAGAUAUAUGGAAGAACACCAGUGGCGAAGGCGGCUGUCUGGUCUGUAACUGACGCUGAGGCUCGAAAGUAUGGGUAGCAAACAGGAUUAGAUACCCUGGUAGUCCAUACCGUAAACGAUGAAUGCUAAGUGUUGGAGGGUUUCCGCCCUUCAGUGCUGCAGCUAACGCAUUAAGCAUUCCGCCUGGGGAGUACGGCCGCAAGGCUGAAACUCAAAGGAAUUGACGGGGGCCCGCACAAGCGGUGGAGCAUGUGGUUUAAUUCGAAGCUACGCGAAGAACCUUACCAGGUCUUGACAUACUAUGCAAAUCUAAGAGAUUAGACGUUCCCUUCGGGGACAUGGAUACAGGUGGUGCAUGGUUGUCGUCAGCUCGUGUCGUGAGAUGUUGGGUUAAGUCCCGCAACGAGCGCAACCCUUAUUAUCAGUUGCCAGCAUUAAGUUGGGCACUCUGGUGAGACUGCCGGUGACAAACCGGAGGAAGGUGGGGAUGACGUCAAAUCAUCAUGCCCCUUAUGACCUGGGCUACACACGUGCUACAAUGGAUGGUACAACGAGUUGCGAACUCGCGAGAGUAAGCUAAUCUCUUAAAGCCAUUCUCAGUUCGGAUUGUAGGCUGCAACUCGCCUACAUGAAGUCGGAAUCGCUAGUAAUCGCGGAUCAGCAUGCCGCGGUGAAUACGUUCCCGGGCCUUGUACACACCGCCCGUCACACCAUGAGAGUUUGUAACACCCAAAGUCGGUGGGGUAACCUUUUAGGAACCAGCCGCCUAAGGUGGGACAGAUGAUUAGGGUGAAG